rnacentral:rRNA from 1 species
AGAGUCGGCGGGGGCAGACGCGAAACCGAGUGAUCUACCCUUGGCCAGGAUGAAGGACGGGUGAAUCCGUCUGGAGGUCCGCACCGAUAAGCGUUGAAAAGCUUACGGAUGAGCUGAGGGUAGGAGUGAAAGGCCAAUCAAACUCGGAGAUAGCUCGUACUCCCCGAAAUGUAUUUAGGUGCAGCCUCACGGCAGUGAGACGUAGGUAGAGCGACCGAUAGGAUGCGAGGGCUUCACCGCCUGUCAAGUCCUGCCGAACUCCGAAUGACGUUUCACGGUCCGUGGGAGUAAGGGCGCGGGUGCUAAGGUCCGUGUCCGAGAGAGGAACAACUCAGACCACCGUCUAAGGCCCCGAAAUCCGGGCUAAGUUGAAGACAAUAACGAAGUGCGGCCGCAGAGACAGCCAGGAUGUUGGCUUGGAAGCAGCCAUUCAUUUAAAGAGUGCGUAACAGCUCACCGGUCGAGCGGCCGCGCAUGGAUAAUAAUCGGGCAUAAGUCCGGUGCCGAAGACGUGGAAUUCCGCCAUGAGCGGGAUUGGUAGGGGAGCAUUGCAGCGCCGUCGAAGGCGGGGUUCGAGCCCUGCUGGAGGCUCUGGAAAAGCAAAUGUAGGUAUAAGUAACGAUAAAGGGGGCGGGAAACCCCCUCGCCGUAAGACCAAGGUUUCCUGAUCAACGCUAAUCGGAUCAGGGUCAGUCGGGACCUAAGACGCGACCCGCGAGGGGAAGUCGAUGGAAGAGACGGUUAAUAUUCCGUCACCGGUCCUGGAUGCGACGGAGAGACGCGGAAGUGACACUCCUGCGGCCAUACGGAAUUGGCCGUUGAAGGGCGAAGGCGCCGAGGCGGGCAGGCAAAUCCACCCGCCGAGCCGAAGUCCGACAGUACGGCAAGCCUUCGGGCGAGCCGAUAACGGAGGUAAGCAGGCCGCCGAGAAAAUCUUCUAAGCUACAGUCCAGGGACGCCCGUACCGUAAACCGACACAGGUGGUCGGGUAGAAUAUACCAAGGCGCUCGAGA